CGUGAGUGAUGAAGGCUUUCGGGUCGUAAAGCUCUGUCAAGUGGGAAGAACCUGCAGUAUGCUAAUAUCAUAUUGCACUGACGGUACCACUGAAGGAAGCACCGGCUAACUCCGUGCCAGCAGCCGCGGUAAUACGGGGGGUGCGAGCGUUAUUCGGAAUUACUGGGCGUAAAGAGCGCGUAGGCGGUCUUUUAAGUCAGGUGUGAAAGCCCGGGGCUCAACCCCGGAAGUGCACUUGAAACUAAGAGACUUGAGUAUGGGAGAGGGAAGUGGAAUUCCUGGUGUAGCGGUGAAAUGCGUAGAUAUCAGGAGGAACAUCAGUGGCGAAGGCGACUUCCUGGACCAAUACUGACGCUGAGGCGCGAAGGCGUGGGGAGCAAACAGGAUUAGAUACCCUGGUAGUCCACGCAGUAAACGGUGAACACUAGGUGUAGCGGGUAUUGACCCCUGCUGUGCCGCAGCAAACGCAUUAA
rnacentral:rRNA from 1 species